UCUGUUUAGGUCUGUGGUUGCCCCGGCGCCGCCCCGUGUUGCGCCGGAUAAUCCAAGCUAGAUGCAGGCAAAAGGAUCCACGUAAGGCAAAAGCUAUCUAUAUCUGACUUUUGUUGAGCAUGGUGCGUCUUAGGAGUAAGCCCUGCCGUUCCAGGAGGACGAGAGGGGUAUCAGUGGCUCUAAAGUGGCUGCGAGGCCUCCAGCAGGCGAGUGUGGGGUCAAAGACCAGGUCAGCUAAGCAGA
rnacentral:ncRNA from 1 species